GAUGAAGAACGUAGCGAAAUGCGAUAAGUAGUGUGAAUUGCAGAAUUCAGUGAAUCAUCGAAUCUUUGAACGCACAUUGCGCCCCUUGGUAUUCCAUGGGGCAUGCCUGUUCGAGCGUCAUUUGUACCUUCAAGCUCUGCUUGGUGUUGGGUGUUUGUCUCGCCUUGCGCGUAGACUCGCCUUAAAACAAUUGGCAGCCGGCGUAUUGAUUUCGGAGCGCAGUACAUCUCGCGCUUUGCACUCAUAACGACGACGUCCAAAAGUACUUUUUACACUCUUGACCUCGGAUCAGGUAGGGAUACCCGCUGAACUUAAGCAUAUCAAUAAGCGGAGGA
rnacentral:misc_RNA from 1 species